AAGAAACUAGGGGGAAGAUCAUGAACAUGAACCCAUAAAGGUGAAAAUACUAGAGGAACUUGCAUCGGGUCUUCAUUGUUCUCUAAACGAUGAUGAAUCAACAUGUGGUUAUUGAAAGUCCAUGAGCCCCCCUCCAUUACACGCUUGAUAUCCAUCUCAUGGAAAAAAUUGAAAAAAAAAAAACCUUAUUUUCUCCCAAAUCUGAG
rnacentral:lncRNA from 1 species